rnacentral:rRNA from 1 species
AGUGAACGCUGGCGGUAGGCCUAACACAUGCCAGUCGAACGGCAGCACAGUAAGAGCUUGCUCUUACGGGUGGCGAGUGGCGGACGGGUGAGGAAUACAUCGGAAUCUACUUUUUCGUGGGGGAUAACGUAGGGAAACUUACGCUAAUACCGCAUACGACCUACGGGUGAAAGCAGGGGAUCUUCGGACCUUGCGCGAUUGAAUGAGCCGAUGUCGGAUUAGCUAGUUGGCGGGGUAAAGGCCCACCAAGGCGACGAUCCGCAGCUGGUCUGAGAGGAUGAUCAGCCACACUGGAACUGAGACACGGUCCAGACUCCUACGGGAGGCAGCAGUGGGGAAUAUUGGACAAUGGGCGCAAGCCUGAUCCAGCCAUACCGCGUGGGUGAAGAAGGCCUUCGGGUUGUAAAGCCCUUUUGUUGGGAAAGAAAAGCAGCAGGUUAAUACCCCGCUGUUCUGACGGUACCCAAAGAAUAAGCACCGGCUAACUUCGUG